AUUGAACGCUGGCGGCAGGCCUAACACAUGCAAGUCGAGCGGAUGAAGGGAGCUUGCUCCUGGAUUCAGCUGCGGACGGGUGAGUAAUGCCUAGGAAUCUGCCUGGUAUUGGGGGAUAACGUCCGGAAACGGGCGCUAAUAUCGCAUACGUCCUGAUGGAGAAAGUGGUGGAUCUUCGGACCUCACGCUAUCAGAUGAGCCUAGGUCGGAUUAGCUAGUUGGUGGGGUAAGGGCCUACCAAGGCGACGAUCCGUAACUGGUCUGAGAGGAUGAUCAGCCACACUGGAACUGAGACACGGUCCAGACUCCUACGGGAGGCAGCAGUGGGGAAUAUUGGACAAUGGGCGAAAGCCUGAUCCAGCCAUGCCGCGUGUGUGAAGAAGGCCUUCGGAUUGUAAAGCACUUUAAGUUGGGAGGAAGGGAAGUAAGUUAAUACCUUGAUGUUUUGACGUUACCAACAGAAUAAGCACCGGCUAACUUCGUG
rnacentral:rRNA from 1 species